rnacentral:rRNA from 1 species
GACGAACGCUGGCGGCGUGCCUAAUACAUGCAAGUAGAACGCUGAAGAGAGGAGCUUGCUCUUCUUGGAUGAGUUGCGAACGGGUGAGUAACGCGUAGGUAACCUGCCUUGUAGCGGGGGAUAACUAUUGGAAACGAUAGCUAAUACCGCAUAACAAUGGAUGACCCAUGUCAUUUAUUUGAAAGGGGCAAAUGCUCCACUACAAGAUGGACCUGCGUUGUAUUAGCUAGUAGGUGAGGUAACGGCUCACCUAGGCGACGAUACAUAGCCGACCUGAGAGGGUGAUCGGCCACACUGGGACUGAGACACGGCCCAGACUCCUACGGGAGGCAGCAGUAGGGAAUCUUCGGCAAUGGGGGCAACCCUGACCGAGCAACGCCGCGUGAGUGAAGAAGGUUUUCGGAUCGUAAAGCUCUGUUGUAAGUCAAGAACGAGUGUGAGAGUGGAAAGUUCACACUGUGACGGUAGCUUACCAGAAAGGGACGGCUAACUACGUGCCAGCAGCCGCGGUAAUACGUAGGUCCCGAGCGUUGUCCGGAUUUAUUGGGCGUAAAGCGAGCGCAGGCGGUUUGAUAAGUCUGAAGUUAAAGGCUGUGGCUCAACCAUAGUUCGCUUUGGAAACUGUCAAACUUGAGUGCAGAAGGGGAGAGUGGAAUUCCAUGUGUAGCGGUGAAAUGCGUAGAUAUAUGGAGGAACACCGGUGGCGAAAGCGGCUCUCUGGUCUGUAACUGACGCUGAGGCUCGAAAGCGUGGGGAGCGAACAGGAUUAGAUACCCUGGUAGUCCACGCCGUAAACGAUGAGUGCUAGGUGUUGGAUCCUUUCCGGGAUUCAGUGCCGCAGCUAACGCAUUAAGCACUCCGCCUGGGGAGUACGACCGCAAGGUUGAAACUCAAAGGAAUUGACGGGGGCCCGCACAAGCGGUGGAGCAUGUGGUUUAAUUCGAAGCAACGCGAAGAACCUUACCAGGUCUUGACAUCCCGAUGCUAUUUCUAGAGAUAGAAAGUUACUUCGGUACAUCGGUGACAGGUGGUGCAUGGUUGUCGUCAGCUCGUGUCGUGAGAUGUUGGGUUAAGUCCCGCAACGAGCGCAACCCCUAUUGUUAGUUGCCAUCAUUCAGUUGGGCACUCUAGCGAGACUGCCGGUAAUAAACCGGAGGAAGGUGGGGAUGACGUCAAAUCAUCAUGCCCCUUAUGACCUGGGCUACACACGUGCUACAAUGGUUGGUACAACGAGUUGCGAGUCGGUGACGGCAAGCUAAUCUCUUAAAGCCAAUCUCAGUUCGGGUUGUAGGCUGCAACUCGCCUACAUGAAGUCGGAAUCGCUAGUAAUCGCGGAUCAGCACGCCGCGGUGAAUACGUUCCCGGGGCU